rnacentral:misc_RNA from 1 species
GAUGAAGAACGUAGCAAAAUGCGAUAAGUAAUGUGAAUUGCAGAAUUCAGUGAAUCAUCGAAUCUUUGAACGCACAUUGCGCCCGCCAGUAUUCUGGCGGGCAUGCCUGUUCGAGCGUCAUUUCAACCCUCAAGCACAGCUUGGUGUUGGGACUCGCGUUAAUUCGCGUUCCCCAAAUUGAUUGGCGGUCACGUCGAGCUUCCAUAGCGUAGUAGUAAAACCCUCGUUACUGGUAAUCGUCGCGGCCACGCUGUUAAACCCCAACUUCUGAAUGUUGACCUCGGAUCAGGUAGGAAUACCCGCUGAACUUAAGCAUAUCAAUAAGCGGAGGA